UAAUAUAUAUAUAAUAUUAAACCUUGUCAAAACUAGUAUAGACAAGGGGAAUCCGACUAUUUAAUUAAAACAAAGCAUUGUGAUGGUCCCUGCAGAUGCUGACAUAAUGUGAUUUAUACCCAGUUCUCUGCAUGUGAAAGUGAAUAAAUUCAACCAAGCACAGGUAAACAAUGGGAGUAACUAUGAAUCUCUUAAAAUAGUCAGAUGUCUUGUCAUCUAAUUAGUGACAUGCAUGAAUGGAUUAACAUGAUUCCCACUAUCCCUAUCUAUUAUCUAUAGAAACCACAACCAAAUGAUAUUAG
rnacentral:ncRNA from 1 species